CAUGCUUCUCACCCUCGUUUCCUCUCUGUCACAAGCUGUGGGACUUUGACCUACUGCCACUGCUGCCAGUUCAGCAGAAGAAAGGACUGGAGGACAGAAAAGGAGGAUAUUGUGCAGUACAUUUUCAUGAUUCAUCUGUCUUCAUAUUCAGGAUAAAAUAUUAAAAUAAUGAAAUAAAAAAGAUGGUAAUAUUUAAUAGAUAUGCAUUUUAAAUCAUUUUUAAUUGUUUUAUUUUAUUGUAUUUUAUUCUUUAAUACAAAACAAAAGUUUUCAGAUAUUAAUUGUUGAUUAGUUUAUAGUUUUUUCUAUGUCUUAUAUAUCACUGUCAUUAUUUCUUUUAAUAAGUUGAUGUUUUUUCUUCUAGUGCCAUCAUCCUUCAGGAAGUCACAUCAAUUUUAGAGGGAAAACAACAGGACGAACAUGAAUGGUUUUCGUUAACACCCAAUGUCUCAGGGCAGACAUUCAUCUGGGGUGUUCGUCUGGGUGAGACACUGAACACAGCCUUAAAGCAGAAUUCAAUACAAAUAAAUGACUUUAGUCUGAACCAGUGGGUAUUUCCUGUAAGUUUAUAUUAGGAUCUUUCUAAACACCCCAAGCACAUAUUUAAAGUAUCAAAGCCAACAUUGUACUUGCAGUAUCUGGUUAAUCCUUUCUAUGUGAAACAUGGAAUAGUUUGCCCAUAUAUGAUGCAUUGCAUGCAGCUCAUCUGCCUUCUUGUUAACAUACAGGUAUUCAUUUUGACCUUUUACACAUGAGUCACAUGAAAAGUGGUUUAUGGUUGUUGUAGGUCACAGUGAUGUAAAGCUAAACACAUUUUUAACACCUGCACUAUUACUCAGAACACCUUACAG
ensembl:lncRNA